rnacentral:rRNA from 1 species
UCCUGACUGACCGAUAGUGAACCAGUACCGUGAGGGAAAGGCGAAAAGAACCCCGGCGAGGGGAGUGAAAAAGAACCUGAAACCGUGUACGUACAAGCAGUGGGAGCACGCUUAGGCGUGUGACUGCGUACCUUUUGUAUAAUGGGUCAGCGACUUAUAUUCUGUAGCAAGGUUAACCGAAUAGGGGAGCCGAAGGGAAACCGAGUCUUAACUGGGCGUUAAGUUGCAGGGUAUAGACCCGAAACCCGGUGAUCUAGCCAUGGGCAGGUUGAAGGUUGGGUAACACUAACUGGAGGACCGAACCGACUAAUGUUGAAAAAUUAGCGGAUGACUUGUGGCUGGGGGUGAAAGGCCAAUCAAACCGGGAGAUAGCUGGUUCUCCCCGAAAGCUAUUUAGGUAGCGCCUCGUGAAUUCAUCUCCGGGGGUAGAGCACUGUUUCGGCAAGGGGGUCAUCCCGACUUACCAACCCGAUGCAAACUGCGAAUACCGGAGAAUGUUAUCACGGGAGACACACGGCGGGUGCUAACGUCCGUCGUGAAGAGGGAAACAACCCAGACCGCCAGCUAAGGUCCCAAAGUCAUGGUUAAGUGGGAAACGAUGUGGGAAGGCCCA